UUAACUCUUAUAUCUAAAUUCAAAAAAAUGAAAAUUUCACAGUUCCCAAGGUCUCACGCGCAUGCUCAGAUAUAUUUGUGCUUCAUAUUUUUAACAUCAUAACAAGAUUGGUUUUAAACAUAUAGUAAUUUAAACACGAGUUAUUGAUGUGCAGGUUCCUGUGGGGGAGAACACUGCAAAGGGAAAGGUACUGAUUACAUAUAAUUGUGGUUAACUAUAAUUCGAUACUAAUCUGAGGACCCAUUUAUAAAUUCAUUGGAAUUAAAUGUACCAUGGAAUACAAUUUUCCCAUAUGCCAUUUUAACUCCCAAAUGAGGUACAAAUUCAUUGUUUGGGAUGGAUGCUGUUUGUAAUUAAUUUGAUAUGACGUUUGAGCAAAUUUUAGGUUGUUUGUGGUGUUUGCUUCAAUUUUCUUUUUGGAUGGCCCCGAUGUGACUUGACGAAUUUGUGCCUUUUAUUUCUAUAAGGAUAAAUCAUGCAACCAGUGUGCGAGGGAUAGACAGCUGUUCCUCCUUAUGCUUCCUGACCCUAAUAAUUCGGGUUGAAGAUGGAAACCAGCUCCGUAGCGAUGCAAGGCUGAGCCAACUGUAUACUCAUUAGAUCUCAGGCUAAGAAAUUGUCUGGUGUUAUAUUUAUUUGAUAUAUUAUUCAAUCUUGUAUCUGUUAUAUUUAUUUACACAAUUUUUCAAUGGGAGUCGAGUCUUUAAGAGGCAUGAUUUUGUUGUAAAUGACAAUUAAACUCUGUAACUUUGACAUUUAUAAGCAAAUAGGAUGUUUUUGCUU